rnacentral:misc_RNA from 1 species
ACAAACUUGGUCAUUUAGAGGAAGUAAAAGUCGUAACAAGGUCUCCGUAGGUGAACCUGCGGAGGGAUCAUUAUCGAGUCUUACAGCUCCCCGAAAAACCCCCUGUGCACUUAUACCUUGACUGUUGCCUCGGCGGGCGAUCCUCGCCCGCCGGGGGACUCAAGCUCCUGUAUUAUUUGGAUUUUACGCGUCUGAGUGGUGGGAAGACAAACGAAUCAAAACUUUCAACAACGGAUCUCUUGGUUCUGGCAUCGAUGAAGAACGCAGC